ACUCCUACGGGAGGCAGCAGUGGGGAAUCUUGCGCAAUGGGCGAAAGCCUGACGCAGCCAUGCCGCGUGAAUGAUGAAGGUCUUAGGAUUGUAAAAUUCUUUCACCGGGGACGAUAAUGACGGUACCCGGAGAAGAAGCCCCGGCUAACUUCGUGCCAGCAGCCGCGGUAAUACGAAGGGGGCUAGCGUUGCUCGGAAUUACUGGGCGUAAAGGGAGCGUAGGCGGACAUUUAAGUCAGGGGUGAAAUCCCGGGGCUCAACCUCGGAAUUGCCUUUGAUACUGGGUGUCUUGAGUAUGAGAGAGGUGUGUGGAACUCCGAGUGUAGAGGUGAAAUUCGUAGAUAUUCGGAAGAACACCAGUGGCGAAGGCGACACACUGGCUCAUUACUGACGCUGAGGCUCGAAAGCGUGGGGAGCAAACAGGAUUAGAUACCCUGGUAGUCCCAUGA
rnacentral:rRNA from 1 species